AACGAACGCUGGCGGCAGGCUUAACACAUGCAAGUCGAGCGCCCCUUCGGGGGAGCGGCAGACGGGUGAGUAACGCGUGGGAAUCUACCCUUUUCUACGGAAUAACUCAGGGAAACUUGAGCUAAUACCGUAUACGCCCUUUUGGGGAAAGAUUUAUCGGGGAAGGAUGAGCCCGCGUUUGAUUAGCUAGUUGGUGGGGUAAAGGCCUACCAAGGCGACGAUCAAUAGCUGGUCUGAGAGGAUGAUCAGCCACAUUGGGACUGAGACACGGCCCAAACUCCUACGGGAGGCAGCAGUGGGGAAUAUUGGACAAUGGGCGCAAGCCUGAUCCAGCCAUGCCGCGUGAGUGAUGAAGGCCCUAGGGUUGUAAAGCUCUUUCAACGGUGAAGAUAAUGACGGUAACCGUAGAAGAAGCCCCGGCUAACUUCGUGCCAGCCGCCGCCGUAACAC
rnacentral:rRNA from 1 species